rnacentral:tRNA from 1 species
GGAGGGGUGCCAGAGCGGUUUAUCGGAGCGGUCUUGAAAACCGUCGCCCCACAAGGGCCGGGAGUUCGAAUCUCCCCCCCUCCGCCA